rnacentral:rRNA from 1 species
UACGUAGGGUGCAAGCGUUGUCCGGAAUUAUUGGGCGUAAAGAGCUCGUAGGCGGUUUGUCGCGUCUGCUGUGAAAACGCGAGGCUCAACCUCGCGCCUGCAGUGGGUACGGGCAGACUAGAGUGCGGUAGGGGAGAUUGGAAUUCCUGGUGUAGCGGUGAAAUGCGCAGAUAUCAGGAGGAACACCGGUGGCGAAGGCGGGUCUCUGGGCCGAUAUUGACGCUGAGGCGCGAAAGCCAGGGGAGCAAACGGG